rnacentral:rRNA from 1 species
CCUACGGGUGGCAGCAGUGGGGGAUAUUGCACAAUGGGGGGAACCCUGAUGCAGCGACGCCGCGUGAAUGAAGAAGUGCCUCGGUGCGUAAACUCCUGUCAGCAGGGAAGAAAAUGACGGUACCUGACGAAGAAGCCCCGGCUAACUACGUGCCAGCAGCCGCGGUAAUACGUAGGGGGCAAGCGUUAUCCGGAUUUACUGGGUGUAAAGGGGGCGCAGGCGGCGAUGCAAGUCAGGAGUGAAAGCCCGGGGCUCAACCCCGGGACUGCUCUUGAAACUGGUUGGCUGGAUUGCAGGAGAGGCAGGCGGAAUUCCUGGUGUAGCGGUGAAAUGCGUAGAUAUCAGGAGGAACACCAGUGGCGAAGGCGGCCUACUGGACUGCAACUGACGUUGAGGCCCGAAAGCGUGGGGAGCAAACAGGAUUAGAUACCCCAGUAGUC